AACGAACGCUGGCGGCGUGCCUAACACAUGCAAGUCGAACGCGAAAAGGGGUAACCCUGAGUAGAGUGGCGCACGGGUGAGUAACACGUAACUGACCUGCCCUAAGCUCUGGGAUAACCAUUCGAAAGGAUGGCUAAUACUGGAUAAGCCCACGAGUCAUCAUUGUGGGAAAAGAAUGGGACCUUACGGGGCCAUUCGACAUAGGAGGGGGUUGCGUCCCAUCAGCUAGUUGGUGAGGUAAAAGCUCACCAAGGCUAAGACGGGUAGCUGGUCUGAGAGGAUGAUCAGCCACACUGGAACUGAGACACGGUCCAGACUCCUACGGGAGGCAGCAGUGGGGAAUCUUGCGCAAUGGACGAAAGUCUGACGCAGCAACGCCGCGUGGGUGAUGAAGGUCUUCGGAUCGUAAAGCCCUGUCGGCAGGGAAAAUGCUUACGCCGUCUAACAGAUGGCGUGGGUGAUUGUACCCGCAAAGGAAGCACCGGCUAACUCUGUGCCAGCAGCCG
rnacentral:rRNA from 1 species